UUACAUAAUUGUUUAAGAGAUCCAGCCAUAGCCAAAACUAGCAUACUAAACAGUACAGUUGAGUACAGCAAAAAAAAGCCACUAAUUUCCAUUUUA
rnacentral:lncRNA from 1 species